rnacentral:rRNA from 1 species
UACGAAGGGGGCUAGCGUUGUUCGGAAUUACUGGGCGUAAAGGGCUCGUAGGCGGCCAACUAAGUCGGAUGUGAAAUCCCCAAGCUUAACUUGGGAACUGCAUCCGAUACUGGAUGGCUUGAAUCCGGGAGAGGGAUGCAGAAUUCCAGGUGUAGCGGUGAAAUGCGUAGAUAUCUGGAGGAAUACCGGUGGCGAAGGCGGCAUCCUGGACCGGCAUUGACGCUGAGGAGCGAAAGCUAGGGGAGCAAACGGG